UUCCUGGACGGCCUGGGUUGCUUCAGGCCCUGAAUCGCAAUACACAAACUAAGGUUGGAGCCUGUCAAAGAUGGGAAUGCCAAGACUGGAGAGAGCGAGCCAAGUCUGCCCAGCUAACCCAGAAUUCAAACCUCUGUCAUUUUGACUCCAAGUACCUGCUCCAGAUGCUAAGGAAGAGCAGAAUUACAGAAAGGUUACUGCUGUCCCGGUGAACCUAACUGAAGGUCGUUAGCUCUGGAUGGGCCUGCAAGCUGUCCCCCUAUCCUGGAGCUGGCCCUGUGGUUCUCUUUGCUUUCGAAAGACAGGAUCUCAUGCAGGCUAGGCUGGCCUCAAACUUGAUACACAGCCAAGAAUGUCCUUGAAAUACUCAUCCUCAGGGCUGGAAAGAUGGCUCAGCAGUUAAGAGCACUGUCUGCUUUUUCAGAGGACCCAGGUUCAAUUCCCAGCAGUCACAUGUCACACAGACAUUCACAACUGCUGUUCCUUUUGGAGACAAGGCCGCACAUGCGCAGGACACUCUCCGAGAUGCACCUGGAUUUCUCUGAACUACAAACCCCAGCAGCCCAAUGGGAAGCCACGCAUGCGCAGGACGUUUUCUCCAGACACCUGGAGCCCCCUUAAAAACGGGACGUCUCAACCCGCCUCCCUCUUUUCCUUUCGUCUCUUCACCCCCCGUCCCUUACCUGU